GUGGGUGGGAGCGCAGUUAUCGCUUCUUUUAAUUUGAAGUGAGGAAGGUCCACACUCCAGUUCGUGACAACCUAAGUGAUUAGGAACUUUGAGAAAGGUUGGUUUAACAGAGCAGAAACGAUUAACCAUUUGAACCUGAUAUUGAUGAUGGUUUGUUAUUGUGGGUGAAACGGCUGUUACCUUGUUUGGUGCAAGUCCGCUCAAGAAUUCAGUUUAUGAUUAGUGAAUUCGGAGAGCUUUAAUGAGACGCUUAGACGAAUACUGCGAACACUGUCGAAGACCCCGUUUUCGCGGGUGAGGGUGGUAACAAAAAGUGGACUACUCCCCAACCAC
rnacentral:RNase_P_RNA from 1 species